GUCAGCUGACUGCUGUGUCACAGAGCUGCUGCUUUCUACAUUAUCGCAACUGCCAGAGCUCUUAGUGCUGCAGUUUUCUAGUCGCAGUGCGGCAAAGCAGACGCAUAGACCCAGUAACAAAGCAGCAUAGAUUUUUUAUUCUCGUCUUUUUUUUUUUCUGUCCAAGAGACAUUUUCCCGGUGUUAGCGCAGGAGCAGACACGCAGCCUGGAUAUGCUGGCUCCAGCCUGGCAGUGCUUUCGGCUGAGCAGAGACUGUGCAGAGCUUGGUGCCCACGCUGCCGCUGAGGAAGAAAGCUGCUCUCCUACUUCGUGCCGUGACGAUACACCUGCAGCCACAGGACCAUGGAGAUGGUGGCACUGGUCUCUGUUUGCCUGACUGAGGCCUUUGCAUGUGCUCCUCUUCCGAAGCUGUGCUGGUGUUCCAGGGCCAUGCAUAUGGGUAAUACAAUUUACUGCAAUUUCUUACAUCAGUGUAGCAAACCUCAAGCAAGCAACCAGACUCUGACCUAAAUCAGUCCCAGUUCUUCGGGAUACAGGGCAGCAGGCAACUGGCAGCGAUACAAUCAGCCAUCAAGUGGAGAGGCUCUGGGACUGCAAUCUGCAUGGGUUGAAGUCUGUGAGAAUGAAACAGUUCCCGUUAUCUGGUUGCUUCUCCUUCUAAUAAUACAGUUGCUACAACUGCUACUACUACUGCGUCUGCUUCUCCUUGCCUGAAAGAAGCUACUUCUCGCGCUCUCUCAGCGUGGGUAUUUGCGUAGAUAAGUCUGUUGGUAACGCAGCCCUUAUCUGCUUCUGCUGGAAACCAGGGCACGAAGUCAGCCUGCCUUAACAGUUGUUUCUUUCUGCGUGAUGCUAUGCAGCUAGAACGGGUUACGCUGACAACAAAGGAGCCAGCACAAAGCAUCACUUUAUUUGCUGGACUGCUACAGGAACCUGACUCUUCUUCGCUACGAAGCCCUUUUCCCUUCCCAUUUAUUUUUUAUAUUUUAUUUUUUAUGUAAUUCAUCUAAUUGAAGAGCCUAUCAGACACCAUUGUGGAUGUGGGUUUUAAUGAUUUGGAAAAGACAGCCUGUGGAGACUGCGACUGGAGACUGCAACACGCUUAGGUUAUUGCCAAUUUGAAAUACUUGGUUUGUGAAGCACAGCCCUAAGGGACAAGCGCAGUAACUGAGAGAGAGAUCGUAGAUAAAGAAAUAAAAAUGACAAGCAUAAUGGAGGCUCUGCAAGAAACUGUCAGGGAAUCAGUUCAUGGAUGGCAAUUUCACCAGUCUGAAUCUGAAUAAUUCAUAGAUUGAAAUUACCCUGCUUUCACCUUUCCAUUUAAACUGGCAUGAUCUGAAUCUCUAAUAAAUUUUCAAGAUAAAGUAAAAUGCCAAUUUGAAUCUGAAGAGCUUUUAAAACCAGAUGCUGCACCCCGAGUCUUUCGAUACCUUUCACAAUUAUCCUGUGAGAGCCGCACUUCAUCAUGAAGCACCAUUACCAGUGAAAAUUACGGUGAUUACAAUAGCAACAAUAGAAUACCGUCAAAUGAUCUCCAAUUUACCUAAUUUACCAAGGUUGACUGUAUGCCCAUUGUGCUUCAGUACGUCUGGCAUUGGAUCAAUAUCACAGAGGAAGAAAAAUGCCUCAGUAUAUGCUUCCUUUUGGUGCCUUUAACUUUGACAGCACAGGAAAAUCUAUCUCCUGUUAAAUGUUUUUACAGCCCAUCUGCAUGCCUGCCACAGGAUCUGAUUGAUUCUCCAUCAUUUUCUUUGGUUGCUGAGUAUUGGAUGUUAUUGUGUUACUAAUUUGUUUAUAACGUGUACUACUGCACAAAGACUGCAGCAAAUGAGUAACAGCACAGCGACUGCUGCUGCAGCAGUAGCACUGCACUCUCUCACAGGGGAAGCCAAAAUGAGUUCAGUGCCUUAUGUGAAUAAUCACUUGUGUCCGUGUUAUAAAUGAUUGCAAGCGUCACUCAUCUUGGUUGCACGACAUGAGAAAUAUGUGCAAAAGUCAUGGUCAAGGGAGAUGGCUAUGUGUAAUUCUAACAAGAUUUUUCCCUUAUCCAGCAAUCAGUAUGAGGCUGUGAGAGAUAGGCUGCGACUCUUUCUUUAAAUGAGUGUGUGUACAUACGCAUGCACGUACAUAGGAGGUAAGGAUAGGAUGCAUUGUGAGUAUGUGCUGAUCACUGAAAGCAACAUUUCUCUGACAAGCCAGGCACAGUGUUUUGCCACAGUCUGCUCAAAUCCUGGUUUUGGAGUGUAUAUUUUCUAUAGGACAAUGCGUGACUUCUGGAACAGUAAGUACCAUUAAUGCAGCACGUUGGUGCCUAUAGCAAUGCCAUGGAAUGGUAUUUUAAGCAUAGUUUGACUACAGUGUGGAUAAGUAAGAAACAUGCACUGAAGGCUACAACAGGCAUUCCUCCUGGAGAAGACUGUGUCUGUUGUCUGUAUGUGUGUGAGUUAUACACAUCAAUCUUGUUUUUCCUUUUAUGACCAGAUUUACUCUGCCUCCAUGGAGUAUUUGCUAAGGAAGAGAACUCCUGUGGAGCUGGUAGCUGUGGACUAAUGGCUGGUAUAUGAAGCAGCUUGACAACAGCAACAUGUCUACACAAAUCUUAGAGGUGGGAAAGGACCCUUGGAAACGGUCAAGUCAUACUCCUCUACUCAAAGCAAGGUCCAUGAUGGUUGCUCAGCACCAUACCCAACUGAGAUUAGAAUAUCUCCAAAGACAUGGAAGCCACAGCCACUCUGUUUUCUUGCUCUUGGAUCCUGUCUAAAGUGCAUGAAUCUUAAGAGCAAUCAACAACAGGAAGUGAGCUCAGUCCUUCAGCAAAUCUACAGCUGCAGUACCGAAUAAACUAAAUGACAAAUAAAUGGUUUAAUGACCCUUAAUUUAUGAAAGUUGGGUUUACAUCACUAACUUGAUUUACCUUAACUUAUUUGGUGUAAUGCAAAAAUGACAGCUCUUCUAUGUAAGGUUUAUUCAUCCCAAAGAAAGUUCGUGGAGGCGAGUUAACUUCCAUCAGUUUAAUAGAGAGGUCCUUACGUUACUGGGGGGGCUGGCUGGUAAACUCUCCCCUUAAAAGACUUCAUUACUGGUGGUGGCCCGCUGAUAUAAUGUCUACACUGGGAUUACCUCCAACAGAUACUAGCAGGGCUGACCGACAAGUCAACACCACCUACCAGUAGCGUGGCCAUACAUGUAACAGCAGGAGCCAAUGAAGUAUCACAUUUUAGGAUAAGCAAAGUCAUUGACAGAAAGCAAGGAUACUUAAUUACUAAGGAACAGUUCUUCUCAAGUGAGUUUCUUCUAGCUGCAUCCAGAAGCUAAAGUGAGUUCACUUGCAUUCCCAAGUCAACUAGAGCCCUUUCUCAUGGGCUAGUUGGCUGUUCAGCCAUGAUCUGCAUUUUUCCACACAUUUGUCUAUUCUUAUUUAGAAUUGACUGGAAACAGGUUUCAUACUUCAGUUUUCCAACAGCAAGAUACAAAGAACAAGGAAGGACACAUCCUAUUGGUAAGCAUUUUAGCAAUUUGGCUGACAUUGGUCCGCUAGGAAAGGCUAUGUAAUCAGAAGUGUAAAACUGCAUUUGCAUCAGGUACAAUAGGCUUGUCAUUGUAUCUGCUCUUCAGAUUUCUUAAAAUGUGCUGUACUAAUGUUUGACUGUAAUGUAAGUUAAGACUGUCUCUGUUGCGACAAUGCAUAGGCUUGAAGAUUUUAUAUUUUCAGCUAAAUCUUUCAAAACUGAUACCCCUGAUCCAGAGGUAUUGGGAAAGUGAGGAAGAAGUGCCUUGGUUAAGAAAUGAGUCCCUAAUGCCCAUAGUGCUAGUUGGAAUGAGAGGGUGACAUGUUCACAAAUGAUCAAAUCAUAAAUAUUGGUUAGUUUAAAAAUACUCUGUAGUGUUAUUGUAAUUUUCCUAGUGUUUUUAUUUGAAAUACAGGCCACAAAUAGAUUUUCAUAUAUUUUAGAGGCUGAAACUAUCCCAAAUAUAUGAUAUAUGGGAGAUACUCUGAAGUGUUCCACCUAAAUCCUAUAGGCCAAGUUUCUGGUCUUAAUGGAGUACUUCUCUUUGUUCUUUGCAGCUUACCUUAGUAAUUUCUUCCAAUUUUAUUAAAAUCUUCUUAUGAACUGCAAAUCACCUGCAAUGAACAAAACUCUUUACCAGUCACAGUGAUAUUCACAAAACAGCAAAAACAGCACAGAACAGCAUACACAGAUUAUUCAAAUGCACUAAAAAGAUUGAAUUUCAUUGUUUUGCAUACAUUUUAAUAGAAAGUUUUAAAGUCUUCAGUUAGCAUCUGAUUUUCAUUUGAAUAAAUUUGCCUCAAAAACCUCAUGCUAUUACCUUGAGAUUUAAGACCACCCUCACCACUGAAAUUUUCAAAUUAUUCAGAAAAACUGAUUGGGUUUUGGUCUGUUUAGAGUUACAAAAGAAAAUGGGAAAGAAAAAAAGGUACUUGCAGAAAAUCUACAUGUAGUCACUUUAACACUGUAAUUCCAAAUUUGCAGCACAAGAUCUACAUGACAAAGCAGGCACACUGUGUUAAAUCUUUGUUUUAUUGUUUUCUUUGUUCCUUGUUUUCUUUGUCACAAAAUCCUUGUUCAUCAGUAGUCAUACACUUUCAUAUGUACUGGUAUUUGUAGACUUUUUAAAAAUAAGUGCUACUCCCCAGUUUUGUUGUUAAAUAAAUAUUUUCCCAUUCUCAAAUGAAUCAAUGAUGGAACUGGCUAGCUAGUUUAAGAAGUGAGCAGAUUUGGUAACAAAGGAAGUCACUGAAAUGGCCAUAGAGAUUUUCACUGUGGUCUUAAUGGAUUUUGAAAGUGACAUCUCUCCUGGAAGAACCCCUGUUGCAUGAUCCAGUUUCUUCUCAGUCAUCUAAAGUUACUCACUACAAAAUAAAGUACUGUAUCUGGUGAUUUAGCAGGAGAAUAAAACAGAAAACUCCAAUUUUUAUUCUGAAGAACAGAUGUGUGCUUGACAUUUUUGGAGCAGCAUUAUAGCACUGCUUCUUACGUAAGUCUUCCUCCUCCACAUAAUUUUCUCUUCUGGAGGAAAAUGAAGCAUUUGUUUUUUGUUUUAAAAAGAGACUCUUGAAAGAAUCAACAACAAACAAAAGCUAUUCUUACCAUUUGAAAGAUCUUGGUGGCAUGUCAUUUUUCCAGAAAAAAAAAAAGUUUGCAACAGUUCAGGAUUUCCAUGAGUAGUUUGUAUUUUGUGGGAGGAAAGGUGAUGGUAGGAAGUAACGGAGUGUAUCUACAGCUGAAUGCUUCAGCCUUCCUGGCUCUGAACUAUGUGUGCUAAGUGCUGCCCUAUGUGCAUUUUCAUACAAAGCAGUUUCUUGAAUUAAUGGAAUACAUCAGAGAGGGAUUUGAACUUCCGCUCAUCCUGCCACCACUGAUGUGCACCGCAAUUGCCAGACACAGACAACACAGUCUACUUGUCUCUAUUUUCUUCCUCCGUGAGUCAGGGAGAAUACAAUGAGUGAGAAGCUAGAAGUGGUCAGAUUGGUAAAUGAAUAAGCUAUUUAGUGUAAUGAAUAAAGCAUUAUUCAAAGUCUGCUUUUUAAAAUAUCCUUUCCCUCAGCUCAGUGAGCCUUGAAAAAGGCAUAUCAGGAACUAGACAUUACUAGACAUUACUUCCAAGCUGAAUUUACCCCUUCACAAGGGGUCACUGUUUACAGAAUAAGCAGAUCAAUACAUUGAAAAAGAAAAGGUGACAGUAUGAAUGACUCUGAGAAAAGCAGAGAAAUUCUGUGGUUCACAUGUUGCUCUGGUGUGCUUAUGGGUGAGCAUUCACAUGAGCAGAGAUGCCUUUAUUUUGCCCACUUAAAGUCUCCUUAUGUUUUCUUUCCAGCAAGUGGAGAAACUACCCCAGAUGUAUUCGCAGCAGAAGCCUGGGGACAGUGCAUAGCUCGCUGCCUGAUGGGAACCACCUUCUUCACAAGCUUCUGCAAAACAAGCACAUUGCUUGGCCAACUUAGGUCUUUCAUGUUGGGAGCUCCACACUAAAGAAAUUAGCUAGCAUUGUGAAAGGUAAGAUACCACCACUGUCUGAGAAAAACUGAAUGAUCCUGGAAAUACAAAUUGUUGGGUUUUUUUGUUGUUUUUUUUUUUAACACAUAUUCAUACAUGUAAAUAAAAUCCUGACCCAGGAAUUUUAUUCA